rnacentral:rRNA from 1 species
UUCUGGACAAUGGGCGCAAGCCUGAUCCAGCCAUUCCGCGUGAGUGAAGAAGGCCUUCGGGUUGUAAAGCUCUUUCGCAAGGGAAGAAAACUUACUCUCUAAUAAAGAGUGAGGUUGACGGUACCUUGAUAAGAAGCACCGGCUAACUACGUGCCAGCAGCCGCGGUAAUACGUAGGGUGCGAGCGUUAAUCGGAAUUACUGGGCGUAAAGCGUGCGCAGGCGGUUUUGUAAGUCAGAUGUGAAAUCCCCGAGCUCAACUUGGGAACUGCGUUUGAAACUACAAGACUAGAAUAUGUCAGAGGGGGGUAGAAUUCCACGUGUAGCAGUGAAAUGCGUAGAGAUGUGGAGGAAUACCGAGGCGAAGGCAGCCCCCUGGGAUAAUAUUGACGCUCAUGCACGAAA